rnacentral:rRNA from 1 species
GUGCCAGCAGCCGCGGUAAUACGUAGGUGGCAAGCGUUAUCCGGAAUUAUUGGGCGUAAAGCGCGCGUAGGCGGUUUUUUAAGCCUGAUGUGAAAGCCCACGGCUCAACCGUGGAGGGUCAUUGGAAACUGGAAAACUUGAGUGCAGAAGAGGAAAGUGGAAUUCCAUGUGUAGCGGUGAAAUGCGCAGAGAUAUGGAGGAACACCAGUGGCGAAGGCGACUUUCUGGUCUGUAACUGACGCUGAUGUGCGAAAGCGUGGGGAUCAAACAGGAUUAGAU